GUAGCUCCAAUUGGCAGAGCAGCGGAUUCCAAAUCCGCGUGUUGGGAGUUCGAAUCUCUCCACCCCUGCCA
rnacentral:tRNA from 2 species